GGGGGGGGGGGGGGGGGGGGGGGGGGGGGGGGGGGCGGGGGGGGGGGGGGGUGUGGGGGUGCUCGGGUGGCGCCCGGGUGCGGGCGGCGGGGGUGACCUGCCCUUGGCUGCGGGCUGACGGCAGGACGCUGGGGCUCGUACCGGCUGGGCAUCCUUGCUGCCUGUUGGGGGUUGGAGAGCUUCGGCGGUUGGGUGUGUACUCGCGGCUUAUCCGCUUGUUGGUGGGGUAGUGGCUUACCCAGGCUUUGACGGGUCGCCGGCCUGCGAGGGCGACCGGCCACAUUGGGACUGAGAUACGGCCCAGACUCCUACGGGAGGCAGCAGUGGGGAAUAUUGCACAAUGGGCGGAAGCCUGAUGCAGCAACGCCGCGUGCGGGAUGACGGCCUUCGGGUUGUAAACCGCUUUCAGCAGGGGCGAAGCUUGGGGUGACGGUACCUGCAGAAGAAGCACCGGCUAACUACGUG
rnacentral:rRNA from 1 species